CCUACGGGUGGCAGCAGUGAGGAAUAUUGGUCAAUGGACGAGAGUCUGAACCAGCCAAGUAGCGUGAAGGAUGACUGCCCUAUGGGUUGUAAACUUCUUUUAUAUGGGAAUAAAACAGGGUAUGCAUACCCUCUUGUAUGUACCAUAUGAAUAAGGAUCGGCUAACUCCGUGCCAGCAGCCGCGGUAAUACGGAGGGUCCGAGCGUUAUCCGGAUUUAUUGGGUUUAAAGGGAGCGUAGGCGGGUUGUUAAGUCAGUUGUGAAAGUUUGCGGCUCAACCGUAAAAUUGCAGUUGAAACUGGCGGUCUUGAGUGCGGUGAAGGUAGGCGGAAUUCGUGGUGUAGCGGUGAAAUGCUUAGAUAUCACGAAGAACCCCGAUUGCGAAGGCAGCUCGCUGGACUGCAACUGACGCUGAUGCUCGAAAGUGUGGGUAUCAAACAGGAUUAGAUACCCGGGUAGUC
rnacentral:rRNA from 1 species